GAUGAACGCUAGCUACAGGCUUAACACAUGCAAGUCGAGGGGCAGCAUGGUCUUAGCUUGCUAAGGCCGAUGGCGACCGGCGCACGGGUGAGUAACACGUAUCCAACCUGCCGUCUACUCUUGGACAGCCUUCUGAAAGGAAGAUUAAUACAAGAUGGCAUCAUGAGUCCACAUGUUCACAUGAUUAAAGGUAUUCCGGUAGACGAUGGGGAUGCGUUCCAUUAGAUAGUAGGCGGGGUAACGGCCCACCUAGUCUUCGAUGGAUAGGGGUUCUGAGAGGAAGGUCCCCCACAUUGGAACUGAGACACGGUCCAAACUCCUACGGGAGGCAGCAGUGAGGAAUAUUGGUCAAUGGGCGAGAGCCUGAACCAGCCAAGUAGCGUGAAGGAUGACUGCCCUAUGGGUUGUAAACUUCUUUUAUAAAGGAAUAAAGUCGGGUAUGGAUACCCGUUUGCAUGUACUUUAUGAAUAAGGAUCGGCUAACUCCGUGCCAGCAGCCGCGGUAAUACGGAGGAUCCGAGCGUUAUCCGGAUUUAUUGGGUUUAAAGGGAGCGUAGAUGGAUGUUUAAGUCAGUUGUGAAAGUUUGCGGCUCAACCGUAAAAUUGCAGUUGAUACUGGAUAUCUUGAGUGCAGUUGAGGCAGGCGGAAUUCGUGGUGUAGCGGUGAAAUGCUUAGAUAUCACGAAGAACUCCGAUUGCGAAGGCAGCCUGCUAAGCUGCAACUGACAUUGAGGCUCGAAAGUGUGGGUAUCAAACAGGAUUAGAUACCCUGGUAGUCCACACGGUAAACGAUGAAUACUCGCUGUUUGCGAUAUACAGCAAGCGGCCAAGCGAAAGCGUUAAGUAUUCCACCUGGGGAGUACGCCGGCAACGGUGAAACUCAAAGGAAUUGACGGGGGCCCGCACAAGCGGAGGAACAUGUGGUUUAAUUCGAUGAUACGCGAGGAACCUUACCCGGGCUUAAAUUGCAGAUGAAUUACGGUGAAAGCCGUAAGCCGCAAGGCAUCUGUGAAGGUGCUGCAUGGUUGUCGUCAGCUCGUGCCGUGAGGUGUCGGCUUAAGUGCCAUAACGAGCGCAACCCUUGUUGUCAGUUACUAACAGGUUCCGCUGAGGACUCUGACAAGACUGCCAUCGUAAGAUGUGGGGAAGGUGGGGAUGACGUCAAAUCAGCACGGCCCUUACGUCCGGGGCUACACACGUGUUACAAUGGGGGGUACAGAGGGCCGCUACCACGCGAGUGGAUGCCAAUCCCAAAAACCUCUCUCAGUUCGGACUGGAGUCUGCAACCCGACUCCACGAAGCUGGAUUCGCUAGUAAUCGCGCAUCAGCCACGGCGCGGUGAAUACGUUCCCGGGCCU
rnacentral:rRNA from 1 species